UACGGGGGGGCAAGCGUUGUUCGGAAUUACUGGGCGUAAAGGCUCGUAGGCGGCCAACUAAGUCGGAUGUGAAAUCCCCAAGCUUAACUUGGGAACUGCAUCCGAUACUGGAUGGCUUGAAUCCGGGAGAGGGAUGCAGAAUUCCAGGUGUAGCGGUGAAAUGCGUAGAUAUCAGGAGGAACACCCAGGGGAAACCAGCCGGCUGGGGACGGCUGACGCUCAGGGGCGAAAGCGUGGGGAGCGAACCGG
rnacentral:rRNA from 1 species